rnacentral:misc_RNA from 1 species
AGCAGCCGCGGUAAUUCCAGCUCCAAUAGCGUAUAUUAAAGUUGUUGCAGUUAAAAGCUCGUAGUUGAAUUUCGGGAUUGGCGCAUCGGUCGUGCCUCACGGGGUACGAACUGGUGCAGUCAAUUUCUCACCUUCUGGAGAACCGCGAUGUCCUUAAUUGGAUGCCGCGGGGAACCAGGACCUUUACUUUGAAAAAUUAGAGUGUUUAAAGCAGGCAUUUUUGCUUGAAUACAUUAGCAUGGAAUAAUAAAAUAGGACGGCAUGGUUCUAUUUUGUUGGUUUCUAGGACCACCGUAAUGAUUAAUAGGGAUAGUUGGGGGCAUUAGUAUUCAAUUGUCAGAGGUGAAAUUCUUGGAUUUAUUGAAGACUAACUACUGCGAAAGCAUUUGCCAAGGAUGUUUUCAUUAAUCAAGAACGAAAGUUAGGGAUCGAAGACGAUCAGAUACCGUCGUAGUCUUAACCAUAAACUAUGCCGACUAGGAAUCAGACGAUGUUAAUUUUUUUAAUGACUCGUUUGGCA